GAAAGGGCUGAAGUAAACACUUAGGAAGACCGUUUUGAAAGAAAUCGGGGUUUAGGGCUUUUAUGGAACCAUCAUCUGGCCCCAAAGCCCUUAGCCACUAAUAAUAUUUCGAGGCGACAAAGAAGGUUGUCAAUUCGCCAGGGUACGCUCCAAAGAGAAGAGGGCGCGUGGCGCAGGCGCCCCUCUCACAUCUCCAUGCAAAGCAGAGCGGAGAGCGCCCCAAGUCUGCGCGCUGCGGGGGAAGGGCAAGGCUGAGACGACUUCCUCCCCGAGGCCGCGGACCUGAGCGGGGUGCAGCCCAGUGCACCAAGUCUCCUCCCUGGCCGGUACCCCGACGCCGUCCCGCACCCAGCCAAGUCUCCGUCAAGUCCUCAAAGAACCGUCAAGAUGGGCGAGUCAAAUGAUGAUAUAGACCAAAUGUUCAGCAAUUUGCUGGGAGAGAUGGAUCUUUUGACCCAGAGUUUGGGAGUUGACACUCUCCCUCCUCCGGACCCUAACCCACCCAGACCUGAAUUUAACUACAGUGUGGGUUUUAAGGAUU